rfam:Acetivibrio ethanolgignens strain ACET-33324 ACET-33324.Scaf18, whole genome shotgun sequence.
UUUUUUUGCUAGGGGCGCCAUGGCUGAGAAGAUGCUUUGAAAAGGCAUCUGUCCCUCAUAACUUGAACCGGGUAAUACCGGCGUAAGGAAGCAACUCAAUUUUUGG